CAAGGCACCGACAUCCCUGUAUCUGUGCACAGCGACAGAAGAUCAGUAUUACUCACUCACAUUGCUCACACGGGCUCACACGCAAACCUGGGAUCAAACUGACAGAUGAGUGAUUGCACAAUACAACACAAUUAUACCAGCCUAUAUUCAUCACAUCAUCAUUUACUUAGGUUAUUAUAGCCAGGUAAUAAAAUAAAUUGUGCAAUUAUGCAAACAUUACAAUUAAUUUAAUUUAAAUCCUCAAAAAGUAUAGUCAAAAUUCCAGGAGAAAAACUUUGUUAUUAGUAAACAGGGUUGUUUAACAUGGGUUCAAAUUCUGUGUGUGAAGUGAACAUUUUCCCUCACAGGCAAACAUGUUUCACCCUCCAACAUAAGCAAAUUAUACAGUACUGUCAAUUACACUCUGCUGCCACUAUUCUUGUUUUGAUAUGAUUACAUUUUAUUUGUAUUGACUUUUGUUUUGCAUUUCUUAAUUUUAAUCGAAUGGCUUACUCCUGAUCUAAAAGAAAUAGGUAGCAUACAAAAUCAACUCCAUUUACCAUCAUGCUUUGCGCGCCUACGUUGGCUGAGAGCAGCAUGUGCUUCGCUGCUCUGCUCCAACUAUGGCUCAGUGCGGCUCAGGCUCUUCACAGGAGCGCAUCGAAGUACCGGCUACAGAGACGCUAGCUGGAGCUCCAGCAGGGACCAUCACUGCACUGGAGACCAAGGAUAACCUGGCUGCUUUUACUGCCUUUUGGAAAUAAUCACACCGAUCAAUCUGCUUGAUUUACCAAAGCAGCUUGAUUGACCAAAUCAGCAAUCACUUUACGCAUUGGUUCUUUUGGCGCAUAAAGAGGAUUAAAUGCUGCUGUUACAGCACUGACACACGUGGAGGAGUUAUUGUUAUUAUUAUUUUUUAAACUUUAUGAUGGCAGCAGCUGAUGGAUUCAACGCAGGAGUUGUGGAGUUGUAUCGUCUUUUAGGAUAUGAGGAAAUAAUGUCUCUUUCACGGGAUGAGUGGUGUACAUUUCUCCUGCUGCCUAAGUCCUGCCGCUGGACCAGCCGUUUGUCGGACAGACGAGUCUCUUGGGAUACUUCGCGCGUGUGGCCAGUGUCAUAGUUGGCUAACUCUUUGAUAUGAUUUGAAAAUCGAUAUUUGUUGCGGUGGAUUUUGGCACAACGAAAGGAAUAUCCUGGAAUAUAUUUUGAGAGCGAUGCUCAGCAGAUGGCCAGCUGUUUGGAUACUGACAGAACGCAUCUCCUCCUCCAGCAGUGAAGAAAUCCAAAUUCUUGGAAUGAGAUGUCAACCUUUAAUUGCUUCCCAGGGAUCCUCUGAUGAUCUCAAGGGAGCACCCAGAAGAGGCUGAGUCAUAGAAACAUGAACUCAAGAGACUCAACAGGAUCAUACUGAAUCCUGGUUUGGACUGAGGACCAGCAUCCCCUGCAGCAGAUGUUUGCUCCUGGCAUGUCUGCAAACAGCAUGAGCUCCAUCACUGACAAUCUCGCUCUCAGAAUCCAACGCCAGCAACUUAGACUUGGAGAUGCUGUGAAACAAACUCUGCAUGACAGUGCAGUGCGUUCUGCUGCUCAGACAUUAAGGAACAGAUCAGUCAACACUGUCUGGAGAGGCUCUCAUUCGGAAAGUGAACUUGAUGAAAGAUGUUUAUCGCAGUUACCACAAUGGAUCCACACAUUGUUUGACUUUUUCUAAAUUGAAACUGGAUUAAUAUUUUCCCAUAUAUAUACAUCUGCUUUUGAUAUUCCGUGUUUAUUUACGCUGUUGCCCAUACACUGCAGUUGUGACAUAUACUGUGUUAUUCUGGAUACAGUAUGAACAAGUGCUGGAACUGUAAAUGGAAAAUAAUCAAAUGGUAUUUUCAUUUUUAGGUCUGAUAUUACAGCACGUGCCCAUUGCAGCAACAUACGAAACUUAUAUUGCAAAGAGCACAAAACAUGUGCACAGUACUGUGUAAAAUACAUUUGAACAGAUAGGAUCAAGAUUUCCCAGACGAUUACUCAUUUAUUGGAACUUAACCUUCUAAUUGUGAUCACAAAGAAGCCAUUGUAAUCAAGGUGCUUAUGAAUGCAAAUCAAAACCAUCUACAUUUAAAAUAGACACUUUGACAGCCUUUGUUGUUUUUCGAUUAAUAAUCCUGUCAAGGAAUGCAUUCUGAUGAUGAUUUAUAGCUCCAUAACUUUAGUUGUGUCUGUGAAACCUAACAGAAAUAAAGAACUUGUAUCCAA